GUCUGCUUGGGGCUAUAAGGAGUCUAACCUGCUCUCUGAUUAAUUUAAGGGCCGCGGUAAUUUGACCGUGCAAAGGUAGCAUAAUAAUUAGGUUUUUAAUUGGAAUCUUGUAUGAAUGGUUGGACGAAAGAAAUACUGUCUCUGUGGCUAUUAUUGAAUUUAACUUUUAAGUGAAAAGGCUUAAAUUAUUUAAAAAGACGAUAAGACCCUAUAAAGCUUUAUAAGUAAGUACUAUUUAAUUAAAUUAUUUAUAAUAAUUUAAUAGUUUGAUUAUUAUGUUGGGGAGACAAAAUUAUAAAUUAUAUUAACUAAGGUAGAAUAUUACAAAUAUAUUUGAUUUAUUUCAUAAAUGAUCCUAUGUAAAGAUUAAAAGUAUAAGUUACUUUAGGGAUAACAGCGUUAUUUUCUUUGAGAGUUCAUAUCGAAAAGAAAGAUUGCGACCUCGAUGUUGAAUUAAAAUUUCUAAGUGAUUGCAGAAGUUGCUUUAGAAGGUCUGUUCGACCUUUAAAAUUUUACAUGAUUUGAGUUCAGACCGGCGUGAGCCAGGUUGGUUUCUAUCUUUUAAGAAAGGAUAAGACUAUUUUAGUACGAAAGGAUUAAGUAGUUAAAUUUUAUUUUGAAUUGGUUAUUUUGGCAGAAAUUAUGUGUGGGA
rnacentral:rRNA from 1 species